rnacentral:rRNA from 1 species
CAGCAGCCGCCACGGUAAUACGGAGGGUGCAAGCGUUAAUCGGAAUUACUGGGCGUAAAGCGUGCGUAGGUGGUGGUUUAAGUCCGUUGUGAAAGCCCUGGGCUCAACCUGGGAAUUGCAGUGGAUACUGGGUCACUAGAGUGUGGUAGAGGAUAGUGGAAUUUCCGGUGUAGCAGUGAAAUGCGUAGAGAUCGGAAGGAACAUCUGUGGCGAAGGCGACUAUCUGGGCCAACACUGACACUGAGGCACGAAAGCGUGGGGAGCAAACAGGAUUAGAUACCCCGGUAGUCCCUGUCUCUUAUAC